GACUUGGAUGGUUCUGCCU
rnacentral:miRNA from 1 species